rnacentral:other from 1 species
GUAUCCCUGCGGUGUGCGUGCUCCCGACCGAUAUGUUUUGGGCCAACACCAACACAUAGGGAGCCCAACCUCAGUGGGGGGACGACAUGCCCUGCCAGUGGCUGGCCUGGGGACGUCGGUAAGCCUGCGGGAGGCACCCACCUGCGUGCGAGCGGGUUCCAAAACGUCGGGGGCGCACGGCAUUGCGGGGUCAAC